rnacentral:misc_RNA from 1 species
CUGCGGAAGGAUCAUUAACGCGCAGGCCGCAGUCGGCCCGUCCCCCUUCUCUCUGAAUGCUGGACGGUGUCGCCGGCCACACGCCCAUUCUUGUCUACACUACCCGGUUGCCUCGGCGGGCCGCGCCCCCUAGGCUGCAGUGUCGCUGCAGCGUCUCGGGGGGGCCGUUCGGGGGAUGGAGAAGGAUGCCCCGGCGGGGUUGAUCGCUCCCCCACCCCUGGACAGCGCUCGCCGAAGGAGUGAUUCUCAGAAAUUCUACGAAAUCUCCAUAGGUGGUUCAGUCUGAGCGUUGGCAAGCAAAAACCAGUCAAAACUUUCAACAACGGAUCUCUUGGUUCCGGCAUCGAUGAAGAACGCAGC